rnacentral:rRNA from 1 species
GCCAUCCUACGGGGGGCAGCAGUGAGGAAUAUUGGUCAAUGGUCGGGAGACUGAACCAGCCAAGCCGCGUGAGGGAUGAAGGUACAGAGUAUCGUAAACCUCUUUUGUCAGGGAACAAAGGCGGGGACGCGUCCCCGGAUGAGUGUACCUGAAGAAAAAGCAUCGGCUAACUCCGUGCCAGCAACCGCGGUAAUACGGAGGAUGCGAGCGUUAUCCGGAUUUAUUGGGUUUAAAGGGUGCGCAGGCGGUCGGUUAAGUAAGCGGUAA